rnacentral:rRNA from 1 species
AUUGAACGCUGGCGGCAGGCUUAACACAUGCAAGUCGAGCAGGGUGAUGGUGCUUGCACUAUCACUUAGCGGCGGACGGGUGAGUAAUGCUUAGGAAUCUGCCUAUUAGUGGGGGACAACAUCUCGAAAGGGAUGCUAAUACCGCAUACGUCCUACGGGAGAAAGCAGGGGAUCACUUGUGACCUUGCGCUAAUAGAUGAGCCUAAGUCGGAUUAGCUAGUUGGUGGGGUAAAGGCCUACCAAGGCGACGAUCUGUAGCGGGUCUGAGAGGAUGAUCCGCCACAAUGGGACUGAGACACGGCCCAGACUCCUACGGGAGGCAGCAGUGGGGAAUAUUGGACAAUGGGGGGAACCCUGAUCCAGCCAUGCCGCGUGUGUGAAGAAGGCCUUAUGGUUGUAAAGCACUUUAAGCGAGGAGGAGGCUCUUUUGGUUAAUACCCAAGAUGAGUGGACGUUACUCGCAGAAUAAGCACCGGCUAACUCUGUGCCAGCAGCCGCGGUAA